AACGAACGCUGGCGGCAGGCUUAACACAUGCAAGUCGAGCGCCCCGCAAGGGGAGCGGCAGACGGGUGAGUAACGCGUGGGAAUCUACCGUGCCCUACGGAAUAACGCAUGGAAACGUGUGCUAAUACCGUAUACGCCCUACGGGGGAAAGAUUUAUCGGGGUAUGAUGAGCCCGCGUUGGAUUAGCUAGUUGGUGGGGUAAAGGCCUACCAAGGCGACGAUCCAUAGCUGGUCUGAGAGGAUGAUCAGCCACAUUGGGACUGAGACACGGCCCAAACUCCUACGGGAGGCAGCAGUGGGGAAUAUUGGACAAUGGGCGCAAGCCUGAUCCAGCCAUGCCGCGUGAGUGAUGAAGGUCUUAGGAUUGUAAAGCUCUUUCACCGGUGAAGAUAAUGACGGUAACCGGAGAAGAAGCCCCGGCUAACUUCGUGCCAGCCGCCGCCGUAAGAC
rnacentral:rRNA from 1 species